rnacentral:rRNA from 1 species
GCUUACCAUGCAGUCGAACGGCAGCACGGGUGCUUGCCCUGGUGGCGAGUGGCGCNNGGGANNGUAAUACAUCGGAACGUACCUUGUAGUGGGGGAUNGCUCGGCGAAAGCCGGAUUAAUACCGCAUACGCUCUGAGGAGGAAAGCGGGGGACCUUCGGGCCUCGCGCUACAAGAGCGGCCGAUGUCAGAUUAGCUAGUUGGUGGGGUAAAAGCUCACCAAGGCGACGAUCUGUAGCUGGUCUGAGAGGACGACCAGCCACACUGGGACUGAGACACGGCCCAGACUCCUACGGGAGGCAGCAGUGGGGAAUUUUGGACAAUGGGCGAAAGCCUGAUCCAGCAAUGCCGCGUGUGUGAAGAAGGCCUUCGGGUUGUAAAGCACUUUUGUCCGGAAAGAAAUCCUCUGGGUUAAUACCUCGGGGGGAUGACGGUACCGGAAGAAUAAGCACCGGCUAACUACGUGCCAGCAGCCGCGGUAAUACGUAGGGUGCAAGCGUUAAUCGGAAUUACUGGGCGUAAAGCGUGCGCAGGCGGUUUUGUAAGACGGAUGUGAAAUCCCCGGGCUUAACCUGGGAACUGCAUUCGUGACUGCAAGGCUAGAGUAUGGCAGAGGGGGGUAGAAUUCCACGUGUAGCAGUGAAAUGCGUAGAGAUGUGGAGGAAUACCGAUGGCGAAGGCAGCCCCCUGGGCCAAUACUGACGCUCAUGCACGAAAGCGUGGGGGAGCAAACAGGAUUAGAUACCCUGGUAGUCCACGCCCUAAACGAUGUCAACUAGUUGUUGGGGAUUCAUUUCCUUAGUAACGUAGCUAACGCGUGAAGUUGACCGCCUGGGGAGUACGGUCGCAAGAUUAAAACUCAAAGGAAUUGACGGGGACCCGCACAAGCGGUGGAUGAUGUGGAUUAAUUCGAUGCAACGCGAAAAACCUUACCUACCCUUGACAUGUACGGAAUCCUGCUGAGAGGUGGGAGUGCUCGAAAGAGAACCGUAACACAGGUGCUGCAUGGCUGUCGUCAGCUCGUGUCGUGAGAUGUUGGGUUAAGUCCCGCAACGAGCGCAACCCUUGUCCUUAGUUGCUACGCAAGAGCACUCUAAGGAGACUGCCGGUGACAAACCGGAGGAAGGUGGGGAUGACGUCAAGUCCUCAUGGCCCUUAUGGGUAGGGCUUCACACGUCAUACAAUGGUCGGUACAGAGGGCUGCCAAACCGCGAGGUGGAGCUAACCCCAGAAAACCGAUCGUAGUCCGGAUCGCAGUCUGCAACUCGACUGCGUGAAGCUGGAAUCGCUAGUAAUCGCGGAUCAGCAUGUCGCGGUGAAUACGUUCCCGGGUCUUGUACACACCGCCCGUCACACCAUGGGAGUGGGUUUUGCCAGAAGUAGGUAGCCUAACCGUAAGGAGGGCGCUACC